GCGAGCGUAGUUCAAUGGUAGAACUCCAGGUUCCCAUCCUGGUAGUGAGGGUUCGAUUCCCUUCGCUCGCUCCA
rnacentral:tRNA from 1 species